rnacentral:rRNA from 1 species
CUUAGUGGCGAACGGGUGAGUAACACGUUGGUACCUACCCUCUAGUGGGGAAUAACUGCCCGAAAGGGUGGCUAAUACCGCAUAAUACCGCAAGGUUAAAGCAGUAAUGCGCUAGAGGAGGGGCCUGCGUCUGAUUAGCUAGUUGGUGAGGUAAUAGCUCACCAAGGCUACGAUCAGUAGCUGGAUCGAGAGGUUGACCAGCCACACUGGGACUGAGAUACGGCCCAG